rnacentral:rRNA from 1 species
ACAUACGACCACAGGGUGUGGAAAACAGGGCUUCCCGUCCGCUCAGCUGUACUUAAGCCACACGCCGGGAGAUUAGUAGUUAGGUAGGUAACCACCAGCAAAUCUCUUCUAUUAUAUAUC